rnacentral:lncRNA from 1 species
AGUGUCUUCUUCCUUAAAGUACUGAGGUUUGACUACAUUAUUGUACAGAUCUUUUUGAAACUAGAAGUCUAUGGCAUUUUACAUUAGCUUGUGGUUUCCCUCAGGAUUCUUGUGUUUUGUUCAAUUCUUCCAGCUCUGCCACUGCUUGAGCAAUCAUCAUAAAUCACGGGGCUCACUGGCUCUCUAAAAACUCUUUUAGAAAUCUUUAUGAAACAAGUCAGCCUAAGAAAUAUCAAGGACUGCUGCCUUCAAAGGCUUCUGGGAAGUAAGCUAAUAGGUAGCUGCUUCUUCAAGCUGUAUAGAGAAGUAGCUUUAGUCUGAGUCGCAGACAGCUAACACCAUGAUACGAAGUCCUUUCUUGAGAGAGAUGCAAGCUUCGUCUGGUCAUAAGAAGGAUACAGAUUGUGUUUUCCCUCCUCUUGCUACCCAAAGAGUCAAAUGAGCUGUGAGAUCAAAUUGGAGUGACUCUGGAUAUCUACAUGAAAACACUAAAAACUGAAAAUUAUGCUAUGCAAGAUAAAUUAUCCACACAGAUUAUUCAUGGUGUGGCAGUAUUCUUUCUUCAGAGAAGUUCGACAAAUCUCCUGAAAGCUGUUCUAUAUUGUCUUACAGUGAAAACGUAUAGAAUUCAUCCAUGUCCAUACUUUCACCUCUGGGAGAAGAGAUGCCUGACUUCUUAUUCAAUUAUUUGUUCAACAAAUUUUAACCAAGCAUCUCUUAGACACUUGGGUAUGCAAUAGUGAAUGAGACUGGAUCAGUUAGAUGAAGGCCCUGUUCUCAUGAAGUUUACAUUCCAUAUGGUGACUGAUGCCAUGGAGAAACAUACUGAGCAGAGACCUGAGAUAACUGAAGGAGUGACGCACGCAGAGGGAGAUGGGAAGGAUCCGUGAAGGCCUUGAGGCAGAAUGUGGUUCCUUUGUGUGUUUGAAGAACAGCACGGGAUCACCAAGACUUCAGUG